AUUUUCUCCCCACCACGCACCCUUAACGUGCCCGAUCUCGUCUGGUCUCAGAAGCUACGCAGGGUUGGGCCUGGUUAGUACUUGGAUGGGAGACCACCUAGGAAGACCGGGUGGUGUAGGUG
rnacentral:rRNA from 1 species